AAGUCGUAACAAGGUUUCCGUAGGUGAACCUGCGGAAGGAUCAUUACGUAUGGUAGGCCGGUCUGACCGGUUCUAUUCAACCCUGUUUUUUGCGCACCCUUUGUUUCCUCGGCAGGCUUGCCUGCCAGUAGGACCUUUUCAACCCUUUGUGUCAAAGCAAUCAGCGUCAAACAAACAAAACAAUGGUAACAACUUUCAACAACGGAUCUCUUGGUUCUG
rnacentral:misc_RNA from 1 species